rnacentral:rRNA from 1 species
UACGAAGGGUGCAAACGUUGCUCGGAAUUAUUGGGCGUAAAGCGCACGUAGGCGGAUCGUUAAGUCAGGGGUGAAAUCCUGGGGCUCAACCCCAGAACUGCCUUUGAUACUGGCGAUCUCGAGUCCGGAAGAGGUGAGUGGAACUCCUAGUGUAGAGGUGGAAUUCGUAGAUAUUAGGAAGAACACCAGUGGCGAAGGCGGCUCACUGGUCCGGUACUGACGCUGAGGUGCGAAAGCGUGGGGAGCAAACAGG